rnacentral:rRNA from 1 species
UACGUAGGGUGCGAGCGUUAAUCGGAAUUACUGGGCGUAAAGGGUGCGCAGGCGGCUUCGCAAGUCAGGCGUGAAAUCCCCGAGCUUAACUUGGGAAUUGCGUUUGAAACUACGAGGCUGGAGUGUGGCAGAGGGAGGUGGAAUUCCACGUGUAGCGGUGAAAUGCGUAGAUAUGUGGAGGAACACCGAUGGCGAAGGCAGCCUCCUGGGCCAACACUGACGCUCAUGCACGAAAGCGUGGGGAGCAAACAGG